rnacentral:tRNA from 1 species
GUGGGGAUGGGUCAUGGUUCAGUAGCACAGCAUCUGUUUAGCAUGCAGAAGAUCCCGGGUUCAAACCCCAGCACCUACA